UACGUAGGGGGCUAGCGUUGUCCGGAAUCAUUGGGCGUAAAGCGCGUGUAGGCGGCCCGGUAAGUCCGCUGUGAAAGUCGAGGGCUCAACCCUCGAAUGCCGGUGGAUACUGUCGGGCUAGAGUACGGAAGAGGCGAGUGGAAUUCCUGGUGUAGCGGUGAAAUGCGCAGAUAUCAGGAGGAACACCCAUUGCGAAGGCAGCUCGCUGGGACGUUACUGACGCUGAGACGCGAAAGCGUGGGGAGCAAACAGG
rnacentral:rRNA from 1 species